GGAAUUGACUGGGUAGCCGCUGCUUCAUUGAUGUCCUUUGGGAGACUGAUGGAGGGGAGGAAAGUCCGGGCUCCAUAGAGCAGGGUGCCAGGUAACGCCUGGGAAGCGAAAGCUUACGACAAGUGCAGCAGAGAGAAGACCGCCGAUGGCUUGUUUACAAGCACAGGUAAGGCUGAAAGGGUGCGGUAAGAGCGCACCGUGCGGCUAGUAAUAGUUCGUAGCAGGGUAAACUCCACCCGGAGCAAGACCAAAUAGGCUUUCACAUAGCGCGGCUCGCGUUUGGAGGCGGGUAGGUUGCUUGAGCCAGUGAGCGAUUGCUGGCCUAGACGAAUGGCUACUACCGCGCAAGCGGAACAGAACCCGGCUUAUAGGUCAAUUCCACUU
rnacentral:RNase_P_RNA from 1 species